AGCACCUUGCCCCCGCCAAAGCAAGUCCAUUUCCCUGUAAAUAAAAAAAAAAUCUCUGCUCAGAAGUACAUUAAGUAGCCCCGUGUCCUCCACUACAUCAUGGAUCAGAGAAUGCUGCUGCUGUAGCCAUGGGAGCUAAUGGUAGACUGAGGGAUGAGAAUUUUGUGCAGCUGGUGCAGAGUUUGUGGGAUUUGGCCAAGGGUUUCCCAAAUGCUCAGUUUAUGUGUGUGUCUCUGCAGCAGGCCCUGUCCCUGCCAAACCAUUUUAGGAAAAUGUAUCUGCUUACUAGAAAAUUUAUUUUGAGUGCUCAGGUCCAUGGAGCCAUUACAAUGGGUACUUCAGCCUGCUUGGGGGCAGAACCACCACCUGUUAGGCAUUGGUUGGCAGCUAAGCCAGACCUUCCUGCUGCAGAACUUUGCUGGGGAAAAUUCCAGACUUUAGUUCAAAUUUCUGACUAAUACUUCAGCUCAAAAAUGUGUCCAUGUAAUUCCUAGUCAUGUCCUAGGGCUGCAUUUGAUUUCUGGGGAGACUCUCUCCUUCAGCUCUGUUUCGUCUUCUGAGAUGUUUGCAGCAGUUGCUGCCCCUUCAGGCUUCAGCGAGAGAGCUAGGCUGACAAAAACAGGUGAAAGGAAUGGCCUGUGUCCCUUGCUUCUCACAUCCAGUGUCCCAUUGGGAGCCUAUCUGGCUAUGUGGGAAGAAUGCAGUUUUCCUCAGAGCCAAGUCUGGCUGGGUGGUCCCCCGGCCCUUCUCUCCUACGCCAGAAAAGCAUGAGGCAGGACUGGAGAAGUCAGCUCUGAUGGGAUGCAGGCUACAGCGCAGGCCAGGGCAGGGUAACCUAGACCACCCCUCUCAUGGCAGGAAAGGAAACAUGGAGCCCUCGGAGAAUUACUGUCUAUGGGGCCUCGCAGCAGGUCAGUUUCCAUUGCUAGUGAAAUUGGAGUUCAUGGAGUCAGGCAUCUUCUAAUGUACUUGUUUGCAUUUGAAGAAGUCACACAGAGUGUACUUACUGCUAUGGUUACCACAGUACGGUCAGCAAACGCAGUCAUUACAACUUUCUGAAGAAUGUUCUCCUACAUAAAGGAAAAACAAUUAUUAUUUUUAAAUAACAGAUU